UUGGCCAGUCUAUGGGACAGUCUGGGAGGCCAGUUUUCAUCCAAAAAUAUCUUAAAUUGUGUUCCUAAGAUGAACGAAGCUUUCACGGAUUUGGAACGACAAGGCGGUUGAAUAUCUGCUUUACAUAUUUCUCAUGAAUCGGUUGCAGUUCAAGCACAGGAAGUUAUGGUGGCUGUACUAUUUUUGCCUAGGGCUAAUGUUCACUGAAGGAGUGUCUCAUUAUUUCUCAACCGGUUCCUGUGGGGGCAGGGAUUAAACAAAGGCCUCCACACGGACUGGAGACAAACAGCAGUUUCAGUACGAAAUCACAACAUAUUUCCACAGAUAACCGACAUUCAGCUGCUAGUUCGCAGUGUCUCUGCUCAAAUCAAGCCUGUUUUUGAUCGAGUGAGGCCUAGUUGUGUCUCUCCCUCUCCCCUGUGCUCUUUCCCGCACUCACUGAUCCUGCAACGCUGAACAAAGAUGGUUACUCAGGAAGCGCCUCGGCCAAUCAGACGAGGCCUUACAUCCUGCGAGCCGGAGGGCAGCCAAUCAUGGCCCUGCUCUGAUCACACAGGCCUGAGCUCCGAGUGUGGAGAGGAGAGCCCUCCCUAGUCUACAGGCUGAGGCUGUCCUCCAUGUUUGAUAAGUGUUGACAUUACACUGUUUCAGCCAUGCAUCCACAGAG